CUCAAUUGUUCUCAUCACUCUUUACAUUGUGACUGCUUAGGCUUUGGAGUCCGCAAGGCUGCCUUUGAAUCUCAUCUCUUAUAUAGAAGCUGUGUGAUUCGAGCUGAGCUUGAUGGAGGCUCCACUCAAGAUAGGUGUGGCCAAAAGGGCAGAGCCCCCAUUCCUGUUAGUUUCCAAUCAAGGGACACAGUAUGUAACCAGGAAGGAGAGGCCGAUGACGUUCCUGAUCUCCUCCAACUGGAAGUUACAGAGGCUGAGUUCCUGGGUGAAGAUUCCAUGCCAGGGGAGGCAAGCUGAGAAGGCCAUAGGCUGCUACUACCCAGGUCUCUUGUUUUUGAUACUGAAAUGCAGCCAAUUGGAACCAUUGGUUGCUUAGGCCCUGUGAUUGCACCUGACCUUGCUUCUCAUCUCAAGUAGAGAAACCGACCUCCAACCAU